rnacentral:rRNA from 1 species
UACAGAGGGUGCAAGCGUUGUUCGGAAUUACUGGGCGUAAAGGGCGCGUAGGCGGCGACCCAAGUCAGAUGUGAAAGUCCUGGGCUUAACCUGGGGACUGCAUUUGAUACUGGGUUGCUUGAAUUCGGGAGAGGAUAGCGGAAUUCCCAGUGUAGAGGUGAAAUUCGUAGAUAUUGGGAAGAACACCGGUGGCGAAGGCGGCUAUCUGGACCGACAUUGACGCUGAGGCGCGAAAGCGUGGGGAGCAAACAGG